rnacentral:rRNA from 1 species
GAGUAACACGUAUCCAACCUUCCCAUAACUCAGGGGAUAGCCUUUCGAAAGAAAGAUUAAUACCUGAUAGUACUUUUUUCAAGGCAUCUUGAAAAAGUUAAAGAUUUAUUGGUUAUGGAUGGGGAUGCGUUCCAUUAGAUAGUUGGUGAGGUAACGGCUCACCAAGUCUUCGAUGGAUAGGGGUUCUGAGAGGAAGGUCCCCCACAUUGGUACUGAGACACGGACCAAACUCCUACGGGAGGCAGCAGUGAGGAAUAUUGGUCAAUGGGCGAGAGCCUGAACCAGCCAAGUAGCGUGAAGGAAUGAAGGUCCUAUGGAUUGUAAACUUCUUUUAUAGUAGAAUAAAGUGAGCCACGUGUGGUUUUUUGUAUGUAUACUAUGAAUAAGGAUCGGCUAACUCCGUGCCAGCAGCCGC